AAACUCACCUAUCCAAAAGCAUAGGGGCGAGGGAGAAAACAAGAGUCGGUCUCCAAAAACAAAAAGAAGGAGGUGGACAGCUCAUCACUUCCCAUGUUUCUCAGCUCAGACGAUGGACUGUCGGGCUGCUGCCUGUCACCGAAUUCUUCUGAUGAGAGGGGGAAAUCUAGCUGCUGUCAGACGCUCGUUUCUGGCCUUCAGCCUCUCGAUGUACCUGCACGAGAGGGAGAAGGAACAUCGCAAGAGGAAGAGAUCGACUGAAUAGAUUCAUACAAUAAAGCAGCUGUGGAAGAUGAAACCCUUGAGGACACUACUACUAGAUUGGUUAGGCUCAACGUCAGACAUUCACUGGUUUCUGGCUUCUUAGAUGUCCAGGAUGAUUAUUCCAGCCAAAUUGUAUUGGCUACUUGUCAAAUUGAAACAAAAAAAUCCAUCCAUCAUCUAUACCACUUAUCCUUUAAAGGUCAGGGGGAGCUGGAGCCAAUCCCAGCUGACAUUGGAUGAGAGGGGCGGCGUAGAUCCUGGACAGGCUGCCAGCAUAUUGCAGGACCAACAUACAGAGACAAAUAACCAUUCACACUUACAUUAAUACCCACGGUAUAUUUAGAGUCUUCAAUCAACCUAACCCAAGUCUACGUCUAUGGACUGUGGGAGGAACCAGAGUACGUCAAUGAAAUCCAGGCAGACGGGGGAGAACAUGCAAACUCCACAGAGAGUCUGCAGCCAAACCAGGAUUCAAAGAACCUUCUUGUUUUGUAUCAGGCUUUAAAUCUACUCUACUCUAAAAGCUUUACACAAUAUAUGUGUGAGUGUAU